rnacentral:rRNA from 1 species
GACGAACGCUGGCGGCGUGCUUAACACAUGCAAGUCGAACGGAAAGGCCCUGCUUUUGUGGGGUGCUCGAGUGGCGAACGGGUGAGUAACACGUGAGUAACCUGCCCUUGACUUUGGGAUAACUUCAGGAAACUGGGGCUAAUACCGGAUAGGAGCUCCUGCUGCAUGGUGGGGGUUGGAAAGUUUCGGCGGGUGGGGAUGGACUCGCGGCUUAUCAGCUUGUUGGUGGGGUAGUGGCUUACCAAGGCUUUGACGGGUAGCCGGCCUGAGAGGGUGACCGGCCACAUUGGGACUGAGAUACGGCCCAGACUCCUACGGGAGGCAGCAGUGGGGAAUAUUGCACAAUGGGCGGAAGCCUGAUGCAGCAACGCCGCGUGCGGGAUGACGGCCUUCGUGUUGUAAACCGCUUUCGCCUGUGACGAAGCGUGAGUGACGGUAAUGGGUAAAGAAGCACCGGCUAACUACGUG